rnacentral:rRNA from 1 species
UACGUAGGGACCAAGCGUUGUUCGGAUUUACUGGGCGUAAAGGGCGCGUAGGCGGCAAUUCAAGUCAGCUGUGAAAUCUCCGAGCUUAACUCGGAACGGUCAGCUGAUACUGUUUUGCUAGAGUGCAGAAAGGGCAACCGGAAUUCUUGGUGUAGCGGUGAAAUGCGUAGAUAUCAAGAGGAACACCUGAGGCGAAGGCGGGUUGCUAGGCUGACACUGACGCUGAGGCGCGAAAGCCAGGGGAGCAAACGGG